GAUGAAUAACGCAGCGAAAUGCGAUACUUGGUGUGAAUUGCAGAAUCCCGUGAACCAUCGAGUCUUUGAACGCAAGUUGCGCCCGAAGCCAUCAGGUUGAGGGCACGUCUGCCUGGGCGUCACAUAUCGUUGCCCAAUGCCUAUUGCAGUGCAAUAGGAAUUUCUAGGGCGAAUGAUGGCUUCCCGUGAGCGUUGUUGCCUCGCGGUUGGUUGAAAAUCGAGUCCUUGGUAGGGUGUGCCAUGGUAGAUGGUGGUCGAGUUAGAACGAUACCGAUCAUGUGCAUGCUCCCCAAAAUAUGGCCUCUAUGACCCACACGCGUCUUUUGACGCUCAUGACGAGACCUCAGGUCAGGCGGGGCUACCCGCUGAAUUUAAGCAUAUCAAUAAGCGGAGGA
rnacentral:misc_RNA from 1 species